rnacentral:rRNA from 1 species
UACGUAGGGUGCAAGCGUUGUCCGGAAUUACUGGGCGUAAAGCGUGCGCAGGCGGUUUUGUAAGUCAGGGGUGAAAUCCCCGGGCUCAACCUGGGAAUGGCAUUUGGGACUGCAAGGCUGGAGUGCGGCAGAGGAGACUGGAAUUCCUGGUGUAGCAGUGAAAUGCGUAGAUAUCAGGAGGAAUACCGGUGGCGAAGGCAGGUCUCUGGGCUGACACUGACGCUCAUGCACGAAAGCGUGGGGAGCAAACAGG